GGGUCAGUAGGUUGGUCGUGCCACCGGUACGUACUGGUCUCACUGAUUCCUCCUUCCUGAAGAACCGUAAUGCUAUUAAUUUGGUGUUGCGGGGAAACAGGACUGUUACUUUGAAAAAAUUAGAGUGUUUAAAGCAAGUUAACGCUUGAAUACAUUAGCAUGGAAUAAUGAAAUAGGACGAUCGAUCCUAUUUUGUUGGUUUCUAGGAUUGACGUA
rnacentral:rRNA from 1 species